rnacentral:rRNA from 1 species
AGAGUUUGAUCAUGGCUCAGGAUGAACGCUAGCUACAGGCUUAACACAUGCAAGUCGGGGGGAAACGACAUCGAAAGCUUGCUUUUGAUGGGCGUCGACCGGCGCACGGGUGAGUAACGCGUAUCCAACCUGCCCACCACUUGGGGAUAACCUUGCGAAAGUAAGACUAAUACCCAAUGACGUCUCUAGAAGACAUCUGAAGGAGAUUAAAGAUUUAUCGGUGAUGGAUGGGGAUGCGUCUGAUUAGCUUGUUGGCGGGGUAACGGCCACAAGGCGACGAUCAGUAGGGGUUCUGAGAGGAAGUCCCCCANAUUGGAACUGAGACACGGUCCAAACUCCUACGGGAGGCA